UCUGCCAGGCGCCUCUCGCAGCUCUCAUUUGAGCGAGCAGCUGCGACAAACGCACACACACUUUCUCUCUCCCAUUCUCCUUUCUCUCGCACGCUCCUGCGGACUCUCAUGGAGGGAGAUUUAAUGCACAUGCAACUAGCGCGAAGGACGUCCUGACUUCAUAAAACUCUCCAGGAGAAAGCCUUCUCUCGCCCUGCGUGCCACAGAUGUUUUUCUAAGUUGCUCCCACAGACAGGAAUCUACUCGCAAGACGAAAGCCACACUCUUCCCCAAGAGAGGAGUACAAAGGCCAGUCUGCACGUGGCAGAUGCAAAACCAAGUCCAUCUGCUACGGGCUUCCCUUCACCACAUGGAGAUUGAAAAGACUUUGGAUACCCAAGGUAAAUGAGGACAAAAAAUUCCAGCAAUGGCUCUUAAAUGUGUACAGAGGAAAGUGUCAUGCUGCGGGAGCAGGGAUGGGGACUUGUGUGGUGACAACGCUGGUGUAGCGACAAUGCUGGUGUAGCAAUCUCUCUCCAAGCAAUGGCAUAAUUUCCAAGGCAACUCUCUAACUAUUCAUUUUCAAUGAAAGCAGACACAGAAUGCCCUACCCCGAGCCUACAUAAGGUGUCAAGAGCCUGUCUAUGAACUCAGCCUUAAAGGAACCAUGUUGACAGUGGGCUGGUUCAAAGUAACACAAUCACAACACUGAAUACCCCAACUAAGCCCUGCUUUCUUCCACAAUCUACAAAUGCACCAUCAUUUAUUCCCAGUCGAAAAAUAUGCAGAUUAAUCAAUCAAUCAAUCAAUCAAUCAAUCAAUCUAUCUAUCUAUCAAGCUACCAAUAGUCUUAUUUAUUGUUAAAAAAACAUUUUUUUUUUAAUAUUUUGUUGAGAAUU